GAUGAAGAACGUAGCGAAAUGCGAUAAGUAGUGUGAAUUGCAGAAUUCAGUGAAUCAUCGAAUCUUUGAACGCACAUUGCGCCCCCUGGUAUUCCGGGGGGCAUGCCUGUCCGAGCGUCAUUGCUGCCCUCAAGCACGGCUUGUGUGUUGGGCCCCGUCCUCCGAUCCCGGGGGACGGGCCCGAAAGGCAGCGGCGGCACCGCGUCCGGUCCUUGAGCGUAUGGGGCUUUGUCACCCGCUCUGUAGGCCCGGCCGGCGCUUGCCGAUCAACCCAAAUUUUUAUCCAGGUUGACCUCGGAUCAGGUAGGGAUACCCGCUGAACUUAAGCAUAUCAAUAAGCGGAGGA
rnacentral:misc_RNA from 1 species